GAUAAACGCUAGCGGCGUGCCUUAUGCAUGCAAGUCGAACGGUAUAUCGAAAGGUAUACAGUGGCAAACGGCUGAGUAACGCGUAAGCAAUCUGUCCUUAAGUGGGGAAUAACACCGGGAAACCGGUGCUAAUACCGCAUGUGGUGGUGGAAUCAGAUUUCUAUCACUAAAACCUUCGGGUGCUUGAGGAGGAGCUUGCGUCCUAUCAGGUAGUUGGUGGGGUAACGGCCUACCAAGCCUAUGACGGGUAGCUGGUUUGAGAGGAUGUCCAGCCAGACGGGGACUGAGACACGGCCCGACUCCUACGGGUGGCAG
rnacentral:rRNA from 1 species